AACGAACGCUGGCGGCAGGCUUAACACAUGCAAGUCGAGCGCCCCGCAAGGGGAGCGGCAGACGGGUGAGUAACGCGUGGGAAUCUACCCAUCUCUACGGAAUAACGCAUGGAAACGUGUGCUAAUACCGUAUACGUCCUUCGGGAGAAAGAUUUAUCGGAGAUGGAUGAGCCCGCGUUGGAUUAGCUAGUUGGUGGGGUAAAGGCCUACCAAGGCGACGAUCCAUAGCUGGUCUGAGAGGAUGAUCAGCCACACUGGGACUGAGACACGGCCCCGAGUCCUACGGGAGGCAGCAGUGGGGAAUAUUGGACAAUGGGCGCAAGCCUGAUCCAGCCAUGCCGCGUGAGUGAUGAAGGCCCUAGGGUUGUAAAGCUCUUUCACCGGUGAAGAUAAUGACGGUAACCGGAGAAGAAGCCCCGGCUAACUUCGUGCCAGCCGCCGCGGUAACAC
rnacentral:rRNA from 1 species